GGCUAUAUUGCCUCACCCCAAUGAUGUCAAGAGCAGGCCAGAAGUAUAGGAAAGAACAUGUGACAGACCAUGUGACUGCACACAGCAGAGAGUCAGGACCCUAUGCAGACGGUAAAAUCCGGAAGAGACCAGAGAAGGGUAACAGGGAAACACGACAGGAUCAGGAUGGGAUGACUGAUGGGGGGGCAUGAAGGCAGUGUUCCGGUGCUCGGGGGGCGUGGCACAGGCAAACAAGUCCAGAACUAUCCAGAAGGGGAAACCAGGAAGCAGUCCAAAAGUCCAUAACCGGGAGAUCCAUCCGAAACAAAAACUAGACAAGGAUAAAAAUGUGGAAGAGCACCCAUAAGAGGAGGGAUUACGAUCGUGACACAUGGAAUGUCCUAAGGGUUCUUAACUUCCUGAAAUGAUAGAAACACCCUGUUCAAAGUUCAGGAACUCCCAUGUGAGUCAGACUUCACCAGGGAAACAGCACAACUUCCUUUCCUGCUACUUCCUCUUGUCCACAACCCAUGAUUGUCACUCCCUGUUACUACGGCAGCCCUGCACAGACCACAAGGAAAAUUUCUUUCUUUCCAUAAAUAAGUAGUACUUUAACAAUUUGUAGUUAAUACAGAAGUAUACAAGAGGUUACGGUCUGAGGUUUCACAAAUCUCAA